rnacentral:lncRNA from 1 species
UUUGGUUAUAUAGUUUUUUUUUCUUUUAUAUAUUUUUUUUGAUAUGAUUAACUGAGGUUUUAUUAAUUUUGAAACUAUUAUUAAGAUGUUCUUAUUGCCAGUUUUGAAACAUAUAAUAUUUUUAAAAGUAAGGAGAUUAGUGUUAUAUUAGAAACUCAAGAGAGGUAACUAUAUUUAUCAAAAGCAUAGGGAGAUCAGUGAAAAUUAUCUUUUUUUAAAAAUUUUUUUUUACUAAAUUCGAAUUAAUUUAAAUGGAUUUUUGUAAAGAUAAUUCAGAUUAACAAUUAGCGUCUCACGUCUCACCUGACUUGUUGUGGGGGCAAAAUGGUCAGCCAUGGAGGAGCGUCUACAUACACUCACUGAAUUUCUCACUCCACCCGUCCGAUGGAAACCCUCCGAUCGCGAACACCUAAUCGAAACUCUCCCCCCUGAAUAUGUUGUAUGGUUCCCGGCGGUUUCAAUCGCGUGUUUCCCGACUGUCCGAAUCGCCGUGUUUCGUAGUGGUCGAAAUCUGGUUGAUUCGCCACGGUUAUCCGAACGGCUGUUAUUGAUUCACGUGGUGUUUCGUGGUGGUCGGACGAGGACUAUUCAUUCACUCUCUCUCUCUCUUCGCGAUUUACAAAGAAUGGGGAGGGGCGGGUGGAAGGGGGAGGGAGGAAGGUGGUGGUGGUGGUGGUAGUGGAAGGUGAUGGAAGUGGCACCGUUGGGGGAAGGGGCGGCGGGAGAGGGCUGGGUGAAUAGAGAGCUAGGGUUUCCAAAAGUAGUAGGAGGCGAGAUAAUUUUUGUAUAUUGUGAUUUUUUUUUUAUCAAAAAUCGCAUCCUAAUUUAAAAGGGAGUGGUGUAUUGAGAAGGUAUUUGUACGGAGAAAAAAACUGUUAGCAAAUAGAAUAAGAGUAAAUUUUACCAAUUGACCUUGUAGUUGGAAAAGCGUUUCACUUUGGUUCAUUUAGUUUUAAUUUGAGCAUAAAGAAACUUAUGAUUUUAAUUUGGUUUCAAUGUCGUCCUUUCCUCAAUUCUCGGUAAGAAUUUGAAAAAAGAAUUAGCACGUGAAGCUCGUAUGACUCUUUCUAAAAGGUAAUUUUACCACAUUGGUACUUGUAGUUUAGCCAAAAUUUUACUUUAAUACCCUAAAAAUGGUAAUAUGAGUUUUCAUAUUCUUACUCUUUCUGUUUAAAUUGUUAACAAAUAUUGAUGAAGAACUAUAUUAAAACAAAAUUGAAAUUUUAAAGUUCUAAUUAUUAAAAUUAAAACUAUAGAGACCAAAGUAAAAUUAUGAUCAAAUUAUAGAGUUUAAUAGUGAGAUUUACCCAACAGAAUAAGAGGCGUAUUGAUAAUGGGCUUGCGAGUAUUUUCCUUUAGAAAAUUUUAAAAUAAAUUAAAAAAUUUAUAGUUAUUUGAGUCUCGUUUUCGGGUUUUUCGGGUUUUCAAAAAGAUUUAGAAACAAAAAAUGUUCAUAAACACGUUUGGUUAAGUUUGCUCUCUUUUCUUGACAGUUUCUAAACUUGUUUUUCAUAUUUUUUUUCAAAAAGUCUAUUUCGAAGAGAAUGUUUUCUCAUUAUUCAAAAUAAAUGAUUCAGAUACACUUGAAUGUGUGAAUUUCAUAUAACCAAAUGAAUCCGAAUAAUUCAUUUUGAAUUCUAAAAAUUUUUUUGGGUUAAAAUUAUAGACUGUAACAAUGCUGUUUGAGAAUUCCGAAAUAUCUAUUUUCGGUGUUCCACGAAAGUGGAUUGUUGUUAAAAGGCCUAACCAUAUGGGGUAAUCCUUGGAAAUAGACCCUACAAGGGCUCAUAACACUGUUUGGAUUCCGAAUUUGAAAAAAAAGAAAAUAUAAAUAAAAAAUUAAACGAUUUAAUCGGACCAUUAAAUUAUCUACUUUUUUCAUUUUUCAUUCUCUUUUUCCUCAUUAAAUCUUUGUUCCAAAUACAAACUAAGUAAUUUUUAUAUAGGCGGCCACUCAACUCAUAUAGCAGUAAGCUGCGGACUUCCGACUUGAUUUUUUUUUUUAAAUACCUUUUUUUUGGUUGCAGGUGGGUGGCCAAAUGCACCAGAUGGUCCAUAUGCAUGGAGAUAUUGCUUUAUUAGGGUAAGAGAUACCUCAAAUGACUAUUGUACCCCGCAGAGAAUAGCCAUGUGCGCCUGGAAGAAAAUACCAUGGCCAAGGAACCAUUCAACUCACUCAGUAAGCUCCCUGUUUGCCUCAUUAAUUGAAUUGGUUCUCAUUAAUAAUAGGCACCCAAAAUUUUACGCGAUAGUUAGUGAGGUAUACGGUAUAGAUUUAGAGUUAGUGUCAUGCAAGACAAACGAAAAAUAAUUUUUGUCUAUAUAUUUCCAAUUCUGGGUAUUUUCUAAGUAAAAAUCUUAGGUAGUAUUGUUGAUUGAUCAUCGAAAAUAACUUAUGUGCAGAAUUCUUCUGCAAAAAUAAUAUGGCUUUUUGUAAUUUUUCUGUGUCAAACUAAAAAUACUACUACAUUAGAUUUUGUGAAAUAAUAUUUUCAAUAAG